GCGUGAGUGAUGAAGGCCUUCGGGUUGUAAAACUCUUUCGACGGGGACGAUAAUGACGGUACCCGUAGAAGAAGCUCCGGCUAACUUCGUGCCAGCAGCCGCGGUAAUACGAAGGGGGCUAGCGUUGUUCGGAAUUACUGGGCGUAAAGCGCGCGCAGGCGGUCUUCCAAGUCAGUGGUGAAAGCCUGGAGCUCAACUCCAGAACUGCCAUUGAAACUGUUAGACUUGAGUACGAGAGAGGUGAGUGGAAUUCCCAGUGUAGAGGUGAAAUUCGU
rnacentral:rRNA from 1 species